rnacentral:rRNA from 1 species
CGAAAGCCUGACGGAGCAACGCCGCGUGAGGGAUGAAGGCCUCUGGGCUGUAAACCUCUUUUCUCAAGGAAGAAGAUCUGACGGUACUUGAGGAAUAAGCCACGGCUAAUUCCGUGCCAGCAGCCGCGGUAAUACGGGAGUGGCAAGCGUUAUCCGGAAUUAUUGGGCGUAAAGCGUCCGCAGGCGGCCUUUCAAGUCCGCUGUUAAAACGUGGAGCUUAACUCCAUCAUGGCAGUGGAAACUGUUGGGCUUGAGUGUGGCAGGGGCAGAGGGAAUUCCCGGUGUAGCGGUGAAAUGCGUAGAUAUCGGGAAGAACACCAGUGGCGAAGGCGCUCUGCUGGGCCAUAACUGACGCUCAUGGACGAAAGCCAGGGGAGCG